UACAGAGGUCUCAAGCGUUGUUCGGAUUCAUUGGGCGUAAAGGGUGCGUAGGCGGAAUGAUAAGUCAGUGGUGAAAUCCUGCAGCUUAACUGCAGAACUGCCAUUGAUACUGUCAAUCUUGAGUACAUUUGAUGUGGGCGGAAUGUGUCAUGUAGCGGUGAAAUGCUUAGAUAUGACACAGAACACCGAUUGCGAAGGCAGCUCACAAAACUGUAACUGACGCUGAGGCACGAAAGCGUGGGUAUCAAACAGG
rnacentral:rRNA from 1 species